AAACCUAAAGGCGCAAUGAAAGUGAAGGUUCUCCUCGCGAGAACCGAGGGARGACGGGCGGUCGAGUUARCGAUCGCUCGGCACUCCCGGGGCGUCUCGUUCUCAUCGCGAGAAGAGGCGCACCAAGAGCGUACACGCUGGGACCCGAAAGAUGGUGAACUAUGCCUGGUCAGGACGAAAUUMRGGGAAACCCUGAUGGAGGUCCGUAGCGAUUCUGACGUGCAAAUCGAUCGUCGGAACUGGGUAUAGGGGCGAAAGACUAAUCGAACCAUCUAGUAGCUGGUUCCCUCCGAAGUUUCCCUCAGGAUAGCUGGCGCUCGUAGCGCACGAGUCUCAUCCGGUAAAGCGAAUGAUUAGAGGCAUUGGGGUCGAAACGACCUCAACCUAUUCUCAAACUUUAAAUGGGUGAGAUCUCCGGCUUGCUCGAAAACGACACGGUUCGCGCUCUUCGGGGCGAGGACUAUUAAGUGUCGAUGAAGCCGCGAGAGACGGAUCAGAGUGCCAAGUGGGCCAUUUUUGGUAAGC
rnacentral:rRNA from 1 species